rnacentral:lncRNA from 1 species
UUUCAAGUGAGUCAUUGUAGUUUCAGCCCUUAUUAAACAUUAAGAGAAGAGACGUAUUUAUUGCUGUUCCUGACAUUCAGGCACAGGUAAUGUAGGCAAUCUGUAAGUUUAGCAGUUCUACUCCAAAAGACGUCGCAGGGCUCCCUCUACUGGUGGUUUGGACACACGAGCAAUACAUUUUCAAUCCCGCUUGAACAAAAAACUAGGGUAAAAAAUGUUUUCAUUUGGCUGUGAGGGUGACAGACAGAGCUUUGGGA